AUUUAUCAAUAUUAGAUGAAUCAAGUUAUAUAUAAAAAGAUACUUUUCAUCCCUUAGCAGCAGUACUGUGUUAUAAUGGGAUGAAAGCCUCGCUAUAAAGGGGAACAUGAUUUGCUUGAAUAGACUUCCCUCUAUUUAGCUGGAGUGGUGAGGUAAAUCACGCUCGGACGUUAUGCAGGAAGUACGUGCUGGGGUGUAAUAGAAUUAGUAUUCCGCAAACUCGCUAUAUUGACGGCCAACUCACACUGUUGAUAUGUGGUAUCCGAUGCACGUGGAAUAAUGAAUAUUGAUAUCGCGACAGGAGACAUGUCUUCAAUGGAGUAUCUUCAGCUGUCUGAGAGACCGAUAGAGAAGAUAAAGACCUUUUUAUCCCAGUCGGCGACAGAGGAUCAAGUGCAAAUCUUGUCAGGCCAAAAUGUGGUUAUUGAUAUGAACGAACCCAUUGAAGAAGGGACCAGUGACACCUCACCAAGACACAACGCACCACAUUCACACAGCAUACCGUUAUCGCCUGUACAGCUACAGUUCCUGAAGGACAUGCGUGCUGCUUUACAAACUUUACGUGAACACUUGGCGAAGGAGGGCUUCAAUUGCAUGUUCAACUUCGAGGAAUCUACAGUUACCAUUGGUUCAAGUGGAUCAAAGAGUGACCAUGUAGCCCUUCAGAUAAUCAAGGACAGUAUUGUUGAGAUGGACUUCCCUGCUGAUCUGAUCCCUUUUAUGGACGAUGGAAUGAAUGCCUUGCCAACAGGAGAUGAUCUUGAAAUUUUAGUCGUCAAAGAAGGUCCUUUGGUGAAGUUAAUUGGAAUGGCAAAUGCUGUAAUGGUCGUUGGUGAUCAUUUGCAAAGAUCUCAAGAACUACUUAAAUCUCGCUCGUUAGUAAUAAGAUGUGUAACGAUAAACCUGUCUGAACACUGCGCCAGUUACUUACGUCAGCACAAAGAACAUCACCUAAAAGCUUGUACAAGCCAUCUAGAAGGGGUGCAGUUGGAAAUAACACAAAGAACAAUUGAGAUCAAAGGCCCAACUCAAGCAUCGGAAGAAGCAGCGAGGAUUGUAAAUGAGGAAAUCAAAGGCGUCUCUAGUUACCCUAUUACCCUGGGUUGUGUGAUAAGUAUCAUAACUGUCGGCGAGGUGUCACAGACAGUGGGGGAGAAGUAUAAAUGCAACAUAACACCCCAGCAACAUAUUGGCUUCAUGGAUCAGGUAGUGUCUAAGGGACUUGAUGAUCUCACACUGAAAAUAGCGCGCCGGAAGAAUACUCGGAUAAUACCGGUCAUCAAUGCCAUUGAGAAGCAAGAGGCAGAUGUGAUAGUGAAUACAACAAAUAUCAACUUGGAUCUGAAUCAAGGUGAGGGUGUAUCGUCCUGCAUUCUGAAGGCUGCUGGCCAGACUAUUCAGAAACAACUGAGAGAGAAGUAUCCAAAUGGCUUAAAACAUGAUGAAGUCGCCGAAACUGGCCCUGGGAAUCUUAAGACAUGCAAGACCAUCUACCAUGGCGCAUUGCCAUAUUUCCCAAAGAGAAACAGUCCAAACUAUCAACAGAAAGAGAAUGAUUGUUUCAAAUGGAUGAUUUCUUUGGUGUUCAACUGUCUCAUCAGGGCAUCUGAAAAAGGAUAUCAGACCAUUGCUUUCCCAGCCAUUGGAACUGGAGCUCUGAAGUACCCAGUCGAAUAUGUUGUCCAGCUGAUGUACAAAGCGAUUGGACUUUUCAAAGACGACAUAAGAUCAGGAUCGAUCAGAGAGAUCAUCUUUGUGAUAUUCCCAGAAACGCAGCUCCCUGUGAAGCAGCUAUUCCUCGCACAUGGCCAUACAAACAAGCUGAUGACAAGACAACUUGCAGCAGUUGAUGAGUUCCACAAAGAGAAGAGAAAGAAACAAACCCCGAGAUGGGAAGCUCGUGUCCACGUCGGUAAUACUCUGCUACAGGUCGUACACGCUGGUGUACAUGAGGCAUCGGACGUUACUGAGGCUGUCCUCGUCCUCUGGACCGAUGAGCAGAUACGAGAUCCAAAACAGAACCAAGGGCUCAAGUCCACAGCUCCUGAUAAGACAGACUGGAUGUGCACUUCAUAUGUAUGUGAGCUUCCUGAGGCCAAAUGCACAGCUGACAGUACAAACCUGCCCUCAAUGACGUUGCUUCACUCGUACUGGGACGGCAACAGCAACACUUCCGCCGUUAAAGCCAUUGCAGAGGGCAUCAAAACCGCCGCCAAAACGAAAUGCAACACUAUCACCAUACCCAUAGAUGUUUUAGGACCGAAGGCGAACACACCUCUGGCUGCAGCAGGGGUAGUCUUUAAUGGGCUGACCAAGGCCAGUGACUGUGUCUUUGUUGUCACUGUCAUGAUCCCCGAUGUGCACUUCUUCCCAACAUUUGCCACGAAGGUAAUAGAGCUGUGCAACAACCAGCUGCAAGCCCCUGUGGAUAUUGACAAGUCUCCAGUUGCAGUUGAGUUAUGGACGAAGAGCUAUGCUGACAAAGCGUCCCAAUCUCAGAGGAAUCAAUUGGCUAACAUGUUGAUGACCAUUCCUGGAUCAGUGUACCUGGUCACAUCAGACUCACAGGAAAGGAAUAAGAUGGCUGCUGAAGACUUUAAGAAAGAGGUGCUCAAAAGGCUGCAAACUGAUCCCAGUCAUACAAGCAGCACAAUUAAGCUCGGAUGAGAACCCCCCGGAUAUAUAAUGUGAGCGCCCCCUAGUGGUAGAAAAUCCAAGAUGGCCGCCAGCAUAGCUGAAAUCUCAGCAUCACACCUAGCUAGUGUCCCAUACACUGACACUUCCUGUUUUAAAGAGGUUAUCGGACAACGCAAAGGUUACGCUGCACGGUUAUUCAGUCCGCCCGCCAUUGUUGUUGUGGUGACUACAGCAGUGAC
rnacentral:misc_RNA from 1 species